rnacentral:rRNA from 1 species
AACGAACGCUGGCGGCAGGCCUAACACAUGCAAGUCGAGCGAAGCCUUCGGGCUUAGCGGCGGACGGGUGAGUAACGCGUGGGAACGUGCCCUUUGGUACGGAAUAGCCCCGGGAAACUGGGAGUAAUACCGGAUGUGGUCGAGAGACGAAAGAUUUAUCGCCAAAGGAUCGGCCCGCGUUGGAUUAGGUAGUUGGUGGGGUAAUGGCCUACCAAGCCGACGAUCCAUAGCUGGUUUGAGAGGAUGAGCAGCCACACUGGGACUGGGACACGGCCCAGACUCCUACGGGAGGCAGCAGUGGGGAAUCUUAGACAAUGGGGGAAACCCUGAUCUAGCCAUGCCGCGUGAUCGAUGAAGGCCUUAGGGUUGUAAAGAUCUUUCAGUGGGGAAGAUAAUGACUGUACCCACAGAAGAAGCCACGGCUAACUCCGUGCCAGCAGCCGCCGUAACAC